UGACGGGUAACGGGGAAUUAGGGUUCGAUUCCGGAGAGGGAGCCUGAGAAACGGCUACCACAUCUAAGGAAGGCAGCAGGCGCGCAAAUUACCCAAUCCUAAUACAGGGAGGUAGUGACAAGAAAUAACAAUACAGGACUUAAUUGUUUUGUAAUUGGAAUGAGUUAAGUAUAAACCCCUUUACAAGUAUCAAUUGGAGGGCAAGUCUGGUGCCAGCAGCCGCGGUAAUUCCAGCUCCAAUAGCGUAUAUUAAAGUUGUUGCAGUUAAAAAGCUCGUAGUUGGAUUUCUGUUAAUAUUUUAUAUUAUUAAUUUAUUAUUAUUAAUAUAAUAUUAACGUAAUUCAUAUUACUUUUUUUUAAGUAUAUGAAAUUUUACUUUGAGAAAAUUAGAGUGCUUAAAGCAGGCUUUUGCCUUGAAUACUCCAGCAUGGAAUAAUAUUAAAGAUUUUUAUCUUUCUUAUUGGUUCUAAGAUAGAAAUAAUGAUUAAUAGGG
rnacentral:rRNA from 1 species